UGUUAUUAGUGAUUACUCUGUGAUGUGGAAGGAGAAAAGAAGGAAAAGAGAUGGAGGGAUGGGUGUAAGAGGAGUGCAACUCUGCAGGAGGAGAGUUUCAAGGGGAUUCCAGGCAACUACUUGAAGACUGUGGGUGGCUGCAUACUCUGGAAGUCCUAUUGAAAGCUGAUGUGCUGGGCAGACUUCACUUGAGUACAGGUACUCAUGAUCCUCUGACUCAUUGUGCAAGUGGGAGCUCAGGGAAGGUGCUGAGUGGACUGGGUGUGUGCACCAGUGAUUCAGCAGGCAGGCCUGACACCCAGGCUGACUGUGAGUGGAGUCAGGUAGGGCGCCAAUUGCCUGUUCAUCUCCCUCUGGCCAGAGUAGGGGAGAGGUGGGGCCCUCCUGCCUGUGGU
ensembl:lncRNA